rnacentral:snoRNA from 1 species
AUUUCAUGAUGAGGGUACUUCCAUAAUAAUUCUUUGUAUAUUUCCCAUGACUUAUAGAAGGACUCAUCAUCCAUUUGUUGGAAAGCAAUGAUCUCAUUCCUCAACUU